GGGGGGGGGGGGGGGGGCAAGGUGGCUUUGGCCCGAAUUAAAAGAAAAUGCCUGAAUCUAGAUAACAACAUUUAUUCAUAUUAGCAUUUUCACCAAACACCUAUAUAGGGAUGCAAACAAAUCGGUACGCAUUUUUACAUGGAUUACAACUCAUUUUGAGGGUAGAAUGAUGGAAAUACAUGGUAAAAAUGUCUCAGGUUAGCACAUUUUGCCUGAAUAUUUGUUUAAUUUUUGCCUGAAUUUGAGGUUUUGCUCCAGCACUAGGGGGACAGUUGCAUCCCCUGCCCCCCCCCCCCCCCCACCCCCUCUCUUUUACACUUAUGCCCCAAUUUACAAAGGUCUUUGAGGCUCUAUUAGACAACAAAGCACCCUCUUUGCAAGUCUUUUAGCAUUGCACUGCGAGAUCACAAAGUAGCGGGAGUUUAGUAAAUUAGGCCCCUGGGUUACAUGCCACACCUUCAACAUUUAGAAGUGACCGUUUGUGACAGCCAGUUACAUGGACAGGUAAAAAUAGCGUUGACUCGUAUCGGAUACAGUAACGGAGAGACUAUCAAGGCAGAGUGGAGGGCAAGAUCACACUUCCUGUGCUGUGGAAUUGUGGGAUAUCGGAACAUUCCAGUGUGGCCACAGUUGUUGCUGCAUGGAGUUGGAUCAGUGUGAUAAUGCAUUUACAAACCAUUUAAAACUAUUGUUUGUCUUUAAAGUGGAGAAUGCCAGCGUGGUCUUUGCUAGUUCAGACUAUCAUCAACACAAGAAUGUGAGAGCAUACCUUAUUAUGGUGUAUUAUACAUAGGAUAAUAAAUGAGUAUAGAGCUGGGCGGUAUUGAAAUUUCAGGUUCAGUAUUUUGGGGGUGACUUACUUCGGUAUGGUAUUGAUACGAUACUGAUAUUGAGUGGUAUUUUCGGUAUACUUGGCUUUAAAUGCAUGCCUGAGUUAAGUCUCACCCACUAAUUUCAUCUAAAUAAAAUUAAAUUCCAUACACUCGGCCCUCAUCUCUCUCUUCUUUUCACCUUUUGUGCAUUCGUCAGAUACAUUGUUAGUGGUUUACUAAAUGGUGGAUAAGAUUUUUCAAUACCGAAAUUUCAAUAUUUUGAAAUUUGCUCUGUACAGUAAAUCUGUAUUGACAUGAUACCGAUACCGAACAGUAUAUAUAUGGUAUAACGCCCAACUCUAAAUGAGUUACCAGUUAUUAUAAAAUUUAUGACCCUAGUGAAAUACUUUUUAAAUGCCGUAAGCUUUAGUGAAUGACAGAGAAA